GCUAGUGUGGCUCAGUUGGUAGAGCAGCGCAUUCGUAAUGCGCAGGUCGUGGGUUCGAGUCCCACCACUAGCU
rnacentral:tRNA from 1 species